GACGAACGCUGGCGGCGUGCUUAACACAUGCAAGUCGAACGGAAAGACCCUGCUUUUGUGGGGUGCUCGAGUGGCGAACGGGUGAGUAACACGUGAGUAACCUGCCCUUGACUUUGGGAUAACUUAAGGAAACUGGGGCUAAUCCAGGAUAGGAGCUCCUGCUGCAUGGUGGGGGUUGGAAAGUUUCGGCGGUUGGGGAUGGACUCGCGGCUUAUCAGCUUGUUGGUGGGGUAGUGGCUUACCAAGGCUUUGACGGGUAGCCGGCCUGAGAGGGUGACCGGCCACAUUGGGACUGAGAUACGGCCCAGACUCCUACGGGAGGCAGCAGUGGGGAAUAUUGCACAAUGGGCGGAAGCCUGAUGCAGCAACGCCGCGUGCGGGAUGACGGCCUUCGGGUUGUAAACCGCUUUCGCCUGGGACGAAGCGUGAGUGACGGUAAUGGGUAAAGAAGCACCGGCUAACUACGUG
rnacentral:rRNA from 1 species